GAUGAACGCUGGCGGCGUGCCUAAUACAUGCAAGUCGAGCGAACAGACGAGGAGCUUGCUCCUCUGACGUUAGCGGCGGACGGGUGAGUAACACGUGGAUAACCUACCUAUAAGACUGGGAUAACUUCGGGAAACCGGAGCUAAUACCGGAUAAUAUAUUGAACCGCAUGGUUCAAUAGUGAAAGACGGUUUUGCUGUCACUUAUAGAUGGAUCCGCGCCGCAUUAGCUAGUUGGUAAGGUAACGGCUUACCAAGGCAACGAUGCGUAGCCGACCUGAGAGGGUGAUCGGCCACACUGGAACUGAGACACGGUCCAGACUCCUACGGGAGGCAGCAGUAGGGAAUCUUACGCAAUGGGCGAAAGCAUGACGGAGCAACGCCGAGUGAGUGAUGAAGGUCUUCGGAUCGUAAAACUCUGUUAUUAGGGAAGAACAAAUGUGUAAGUAACUAUGCACGUCUUGACGGUACCUAAUCAGAAAGCCACGGCUAACUACGUG
rnacentral:rRNA from 1 species